UCUUGGCCCUCUCUUCCUUCUUGUCAUAGUCUUGUUUUCUUUUACUAUUUAACAGAAGAUCGAAAAGAAGGGGCACCAAGCGCAUCAAACACUGAGACAUUUCUUUUGAGACUGCAUAAAAUCGUGAUCCGUAUCAAAGAGAGAGAUCCUUUCUCUGGAUAUUCCUGCUCUUAUGAGUAUGCAAGAAUUUCACGGAGCAUUACAGUAAUGCACUGGUACUCGCUCAUCAAACAAAUUUUGGGUUCUAACUGAACAUCGUAAAGAAGAUUGAGCAUUGGGGAGCAUAAUGGAUGAUUCUGCUCUCUACGCUGCAUUUUCCAUUUUUAUCAUGUGAAGAGGCAAAUGCCUAUGCUCAUGGGGAUUUAAAAUUGAUCACCCUAAGAAACGUGACACUUACAAUUUUGGUCCAGUAAAUUUAUCAAAAUACAUUUUGACUGUUCAA